UACAGAGGGGGCAAGCGUUGUUCGGAAUUACUGGGCGUAAAGGGCGCGUAGGCGGCCGCCUAAGUCAGACGUGAAAUCCCUCGGCUCAACCGGGGAACUGCGUCUGAUACUGGGGUGGCUUGAAUUCGGGAGAGGGAUGCGGAAUUCCGAGGUGUAGCGGUGAAAUGCGUAGAUAUCUGGAGGAACACCGGUGGCGAAGGCGGCAUCCUGGACCGAGAUUGACGCUGAGGCGCGAAAGCCAGGGGAGCCAAAGCGGGG
rnacentral:rRNA from 1 species